UACGUAGGGUGCAAGCGUUAAUCGGAAUUACUGGGCGUAAAGCGUGCGCAGGCGGUUUUGUAAGUCUGUCGUGAAAUCCCCGGGCUCAACCUGGGAAUUGCGAUGGAGACUGCAAGGCUAGAAUCUGGCAGAGGGGGGUAGAAUUCCACGUGUGAGCAGUGAAAUGCGUAGAGAUGUGGAGGAACACCGAUGGCGAAGGCAGCCCCUGGGUCAAGAUU
rnacentral:rRNA from 1 species